rnacentral:tRNA from 1 species
CCUUCGAUAGCUCAGUUGGUAGAGACAGUAGAGGGACUUUAAGCUGUCAUCCAUAGGUCGCUGGUUCAAAUCCGGCUCGAAGGA